GACGAACGCUGGCGGCGUGCUUAACACAUGCAAGUCGAACGGGCCCGCCCCUGUUUUUGGGGGUGGGUUGAGUGGCGAACGGGUGAGUAUCACGUGAGUAACCUGCCCCCUGCUCCGGGAUAACUGCUUGAAAGGGCGGCUAAUACGGGGUGUGCCGGCUGGUCCGCAUGGGCCUGGUCGGGAUAGUUUCAUCUUCGGGUGUUUCGGUGGGGGAUGGGCUCGCGGCCUAUCAGCUUGUUGGUGGGGUGAUGGCCCACCCAGGCGGUGACGGGUAGGCGGAGUGAGAGGGCGGGCGGACAGACUGGGAGUGAGACUCGGGACAGCCACGUGCGGGAGGCAGCAGUAGGGGGUAUCGAAGAAUGGGCGGAAGAUUGAUGCAGAGAGGGCGCGUGAGGAAGGGAGGCCUGCGGGUUGGGACCCUCUUUCGCCGGUGGUGACGGCCCGGUCCGAUGCGGCGGGGUUGACGGUAGCCGAGUAUGAAGCGCCGGCUAACUACGUG
rnacentral:rRNA from 1 species